AACAAUGAUUUCGGGCGCCUACUUUGAAGGUGAUGUUGUUUUUUGCUGAUGCCUAUAAGCUGAAGCUAAAGCAGCACACACCAGAUUAGAUAGAUGAUUGAUUAUACUGAAACACUCUAAGAUACGGAAAUUCUCCGAACAAUAAGAAAGCCAAAAAAGAGAAAAAGAAGUGAAAGAAACGCCUUCCAUAUAUCGAUUGAACAUUGCGACCAAUCGAUCAACUAACAAGAACAAGUAAGCCAGCCCAGCCCUUCUUCUUCCACUGUUUACCGAAUAAUGAAGAACAAUAUGUAGCAAGCCAGUAAAUAGCGAUACUU